rnacentral:misc_RNA from 1 species
CUUUUCUUAGCAAUUACAAAGCUAAUUAUUAAAUACACCGGGAAUACUAAAAAAUAAUGCUCCCUCUCUCACAGAAAAGUAGAUACUUCCUACAAUAUAGAGCGUGAAUCCCACAUAAUUAUGAGAGAUGAUGCAUGUGCACCGAUGCACCUAAUAAUUUCUCAACUAAACUAAACACUCAAUGUAAUCCUCUAACCUGAAAAUGCAUGAACCUUUAUAUUAAAAAAAAAUGCACCACAAAAAAUUGUAGGAAUGCCCAACACAAACCCAAGGACCAAAACUUGCCCACAAUAGCUGCCCGAAGAGAGAUUCGAUAGCCAAUAGAAGCCUUCAGGCCGUGCUGCCAUACCUCGAAAAGCAUAAUCAAAAGCAAGUUCUCUUUAUGUGCAUGGAAGCCUCUGGAUGAAACGACAGCCACCAAUAAAAGAAUAAAUAACUCUUUUAUUAUUUUCCCCUGCCCAAUGAAGGAGAUUCCACCCAAGCAACCAGGCAAAGCAUACAGCAUAGACAAGUAGAUAUGUACAAGAACCUCGGCGUAAUGGAAAAGCACACCAUUUCCAAAAUGGGAACCGAAUGAAGAAAUCAGAUGGAUGAAUUUAAACCACAAUGAAACACUAGCUUUUUUCUGUUCUCAGUCUCUUAUGAGCCUGAUCAGAGUCUUCCAUUAGAUUCUCAACUUCACUUUGUUCCAUCACUUGAUUGUUAAAAUACGCAUUUUCUUGAUCCUUUGAACUUGAUGCCAUAAUAGCUGCUCCCCUAUUUCCUUGUUUGCCAACAUCAAUUUGCACCGAGAUGUUUGUCUGAGUCAAAUCCACACCUGAAGACCGUAGAGCUUGGGUCAAAGUAUCCAAUAUCCCUUGAGAAUAUGUAUUUGAGAGGCUAACUGAUCCAGUUUCAAUCAUUGGCUCCUCUUGUCCAUUCAAUGUAUUGUUUGGAGAGGCACACUCAGUAGCACAAGGUUGACCCUGCCACAGUUGGGAUUGGUGUUGAUAUGCCAUAUUCUCAGCAUCAGAAACAGACUCCAGCACAGGCUGAGCAAUUACACCCCCACUCCCUACAGCAGCAAACAUAUUUGACUGCACUUGAACAUUAAAUGGAACUGCAGUGGUUCCCAGGACAGAUUCAAUCGAGUUAUUUACAUUUGUGAGCAUGGCAGUAGUUUUAUGAGUAGAACCAUUAUUCAAUACUUGAGAAUGAUCCAUUACAGCAGGCAGAUUGUGAUUUUUCUGUUUGAAAAGAAGACAAACCAUCAAUAUCACUCCUAUGAAUUGAAACUAGAAAGAAAUACUAUUCACAAUCAUAUCUGAAAGAGUCAUAAAGAUCCAUGUACAAAUGAUCUUCAAUAAAGAAAAAUAACAACAAUGCUUGCUCUUGUUGUCUUUAUGUACUCCCUUAACAUUAACAAAAAUAACUACUACAUUUAUCCCAUACAAAUGGUACAUAUUUUGAUAUGUGGUUGUCCCAUGAUAUUUGUCCAAUUCAAAGAACAAAUUUGAAACUAUUGCAUAAUUGUCUUUUACGGCCCUCACAGUAAUGUAUUUUGCAUGUUAAACACAAAAUCAAUUAAUCAAGGAAAAAUUAGCAUUCCAAGUACAAAUAAUGCAUUUUAUGAAAGAGUAUUAAUUGUCAAAGAUAUUAUAACUUUGGAGCAGAUGUAGUACUUUGUCUCAAAUAUUAAGUGUGUUAUUUCUUAUGAUCAAUAAAACACUUGAAAUCUACAUGAGCUCAUGAUGCACGUCAAGGAAAAUGUAUCAUAAGCAUCGAUUAGAAAUAGUGAUCAAGCACACAAUUCAUUCAAAUGAGUACAUGCCACUACAUGCAUAUGAAAGCAAGAAACUUUCAUCCACUAGGGCAAGUGUAUUUGUAGAAUUUACUCAUCUGUCCUCCAAAUGCAAAACAAAGACACAGAAUUACAUCUCAAAAUUCUGCAAGUUUUCUUUUUUCUUACCCUAGGUAAAAUUGAAGUGUCAAUUUAGCAAGACCAGUGGUGUUUUAUUCAAAUAUUCAUCUGAUAUGAAACAUAAAAGAAAAUGCAAAUAGAAAAUUCAUCAACAACAACCUAGUUGCAGCAUCUUCCAUAUUACAAUCCCCAUUGACAACUGUCAAACAAAAUAUUCCCAACUUUAUACCUAUUUUCCAUGUCAUAAAGUCUACAACAAAGUUAAUAAUCAAAUUUUAAAGGACUGUAGAAGCACAAGCAUCUCAAAAUACAGGAAAACUAUGUAUUAGGAAAAAGCAAUUCACAGUACUACAGUAUAACAACUCACAUGCAUAUUAUGAUUUAUGAAUUGAAAUUUUACCCAGGGUGUCAAUUUUGUUGGCUCUUGACUCCAACCUUGGUAUGGCCCCUCAUACAUCUGUAACUUUUCCUGUAAAAACUGAAUGUACUCUAUGACCUCUAACAAGAAUGAAGCCUUAUCUCUUUUCUGAUCAUUUUGAGGUAUAAGAUCUCUCAAAAUCUGGAACCUGCUUCACAAAGACAGUUGUUAAUACAUGAGCAAAAAUUCACUCCCAUGUUAUUGAUUGUCAAGGAGAAUCUAAGGACAUAAAAACAUCUGACACAAUGAUAAUCAGUCAAAUGCAAGAUUCUCCUACGACCAGAACCCAAAUGUCAUUGUUCAGAAUUAUGGUGGUUUACUAACAAAUAAUAUUAUAAUAAAGAUAAAAAAAUAAAUAAAAGCUUAACUCAAGUUCUAAACUAGCAGUUGUGUUGCCUGCAUGGAUCUUCUUUAUCUAUCUAAUUCCAUCUACUGCCUUGCUGAACCACUAUGAUUGAUACUAAUUUUAGUUUUCAUUUAAACCUCUUCAUUCCCCUUUAUUAUCUCGCAUACUUCUCUUCUUAUCUACUCUUACUAUUUGAAUCCGUCACUUGCUUUCUUGUCCACACCUCUGCACUUGCAAGUCCACAUUCAGAAUAACCAACCAAGAAAUUGGAUAACAAAACUCCAAACUUCCUCAAUUACCAAAUUAAAUUCACUUCAGCCAUAAAAUCUUCGAAACUUAAUUAAAUACUUGACUAAAAAAUUCCCGUCUUUCUUCUUUUACUUCUUUUCUUACUCUACAACUCAGACUAUGUACGUCAGUGCUACAAAGUGACUAAUUUUAAAAUCUUUCGACAAGUAAUCGAAAACAAUUCAACCUCAACAUUAGUACACCACAAAUUUCCUCAGUUGGCACAUUACCUUCGCAUGUAAAUCAUAAAACAAAGGGAUUAUAAUUAAGCUUGCCUCUCAUUAAUCUUGCUCCUUCUACGCUGCUCUGUCUCUGAAUGCUUGGACCUAUGCGUACUCACCUUCUGUUCACUGCUCUUACCAUCUAUCUUCGCUGCGUCACCUAUAAUUAAAAUACAAAUUUCAGGGAAAUAAACAAACAAAAGCAAUAAUAUUUGUACAUGUACCUUUGUAGGAAGAGGAGUCGUA